rnacentral:rRNA from 1 species
AACGAACGCUGGCGGCGUGCUUAACACAUGCAAGUCGAACGGUAAGGCCCUUCGGGGUACACGAGUGGCGAACGGGUGAGUAACACGUGGGUGAUCUGCCCUGCACUUCGGGAUAAGCCUGGGAAACUGGGUCUAAUACCGGAUAGGACUCCUGCCUGCAUGGGUGGGGGUGGAAAGCUUUUGCGGUGUGGGAUGGGCCCGCGGCCUAUCAGCUUGUUGGUGGGGUGCUGGCCUACCAAGGCGACGACGGGUAGCCGGCCUGGGAGGGUGACCGGCCACACUGGGACUGAGAUACGGCCCAGACUCCUACGGGAGGCAGCAGUGGGGAAUAUUGCACAAUGGGCGCAAGCCUGAUGCAGCGACGCCGCGUGAGGGAUGACGGCCUUCGGGUUGUAAACCUCUUUCAGCACAGACGAAGCGCAAGUGACGGUAUGUGUAGAAGAAGGACCGGCCAACUACGUGCCAGCCGCCGCCGUAA